UCGGCGGGGAAGAAAUCGCAUGGGUCAAUACCCUGUGUGGAUGACGGUACCGGAAUAAGAAGCACCGGCUAACUACGUGCCAGCAGCCGCGGUAAUACGUAGGGUGCGAGCGUUAAUCGGAAUUACUGGGCGUAAAGCGUGCGCAGGCGGUUUGGUAAGUCAGAUGUGAAAUCCCCGGGCUCAACCUGGGAACUGCAUUUGAGACUGCCAAGCUGGAGUUUGGCAGAGGGGGGUGGAAUUCCACGUGUAGCAGUGAAAUGCGUAGAGAUGUGGAGGAACACCGAUGGUGAAGGCAGCCCCCUGGGCCAAUACUGACGCUCAUGCACGAAAGCGUGGGGAGCAAACAGGAUUAGAUACCCUGGUAGUCCACGCCCUAAACGAUGUCAACUAGGUGUUGGGAGGGUUAAACCUUUUAGUGCCGUAGCUAACGCGUGAAGUUGACCGCCUGGGGAGUACGGCCGCAAGGCUAAAACUCAAAGGAAUUGACGGGGACCCGCACAAGCGGUGGAUGAUGUGGAUUAAUUCGAUGCAACGCGAAAAACCUUGCCUACCCUUGACAUGUCAGGAAUCCUGGAGAGAUCUGGGAGUGCUCCAAGAAAACCUGACACANGUGCUUGCAUGGCUUGUCGUCAGCUCGUGUCGUGAGAUGUUGGGUUAAGUCCCGCAACGAGCCAACCCUUGUCAUUAAUUGCCAUCAUUCAGUUGGGCACUUUAAUGAGACUGCCGGUGACAAACCGGAGGAAGGUGGGGAUGAGGUCAAGUCCUCAUGGCCCUUAUGGGUAGGGCUUCACACGUCAUACAAUGGUCGGUUCAGAGGGUUGCCAACCCGCGAGGGGGAGCCAAUCUCAGAAAGCCGAUCGUAGUCCGGAUCGCAGUCUGCAACUCGACUGCGUGAAGUCGGAAUCGCUAGUAAUCGCGGAUCAGCAUGUCGCGGUGAAUACGUUCCCGGGUCUUGUACACACCGCCCGUCACACCAUGGGAGCGGGUUCUGCCAGAAGUAGUUAGCCUAACCGCAAGGAGGGCGAUUACCACGGCAGGGUUCGUGACUGGGGUGAAGUCGUAACAAGGAGCC
rnacentral:rRNA from 1 species